rnacentral:rRNA from 1 species
UCUCCCUGGGGAACGGGUGGUAAUGCCGGAUGCUCCAGUUGAUCGCAUGGUCUUCUGGGAAAGCUUUCGCGGUAUGGGAUGGGGUCGCGUCCUAUCAGCUUGACGGCGGGGUAACGGCCCACCGUGGCUUCGACGGGUAGCCGGCCUGAGAGGGCGACCGGCCACAUUGGGACUGAGAUACGGCCCAGACUCCUACGGGAGGCAGCAGUGGGGAAUAUUGCACAAUGGGCGCAAGCCUGAUGCAGCGACGCCGCGUGAGGGAUGGAGGCCUUCGGGUUGUAAACCUCUUUUAUCGGGGAGCAAGCGAGAGUGAGUUUACCCGUUGAAUAAGCACCGGCUAACUACGUGCCAGCAGCCGCGGUAAUACGUAGGGUGCAAGCGUUAUCCGGAAUUAUUGGGCGUAAAGGGCUCGUAGGCGGUUCGUCGCGUCCGGUGUGAAAGUCCAUCGCUUAACGGUGGAUCCGCGCCGGGUACGGGCGGGCUUGAGUGCGGUAGGGGAGACUGGAAUUCCCGGUGUAACGGUGGAAUGUGUAGAUAUCGGAAAGAACACCA